rnacentral:rRNA from 1 species
GACAGAGGGUGCAAGCGUUGUUCGGAAUCAUUGGGCGUAAAGGGCGCGUAGGCGGUUUGGUAAGUCGAAUGUGAAAUCCCAGGGCUCAACCUUGGAAGUGCAUCCGAAACUGCCAAACUAGAGUCUCGGAGAGGGUGGUGGAAUUCCCAGUGUAGAGGUGAAAUUCGUAGAUAUUGGGAGGAACACCGGUGGCGAAGGCGACCGCCUGGACGAAGACUGACGCUGAGGCGCGAGAGCGUGGGGAGCAAACAGG